AUCUCGCUGUGGCAAACGAGUGCCCAUUUUUAUGCUUGAAUGUUUGCAGAGUUAUUUUUGAUGUUUAGAAUGUUUUCUGUGAUUUCUUUUCGUGUGCUCUAGUACGCUGUAGUUUCGUGUGUUAUUUGCGCUUGUCAUACAUGGCGUCGGUCGCCCCCUUUGUUCCCUCUUGAGCGUUAGCGCCAUUUUGUCUCAAUCCUCGGUAAUCCUUCAGCCCUCAUUGCCAUCGGUGCCCCAAAGCCUGCCCUGUCGACGGUUCUUGGUGCUACGAACAUGAUAAUGGUGCUGCUAUCUGGAGGUGUCCCCGAGUAGUGUUAACGUAACGCUCCUAAAUCGGCCGGAGCGCGGGGGCCCGUGUCUACGGUGUAGGGCUCGCGCUGUGUCGCCCAUGUCGAUGGAUGUUAACGCUGCUUUCAUUUCCGACAGGUGUGCCCAGCUCAUCACACCAGGAACUUGAUGCGCAGCGCUGGCACAAUGG